rnacentral:lncRNA from 1 species
AAUAAAAUUCCAUUUUUAUUUAUUUAUGCUCCCAUUUUAUAACGAUUGCCACUAAAUACAAUAGCUAUUGCUACAGGCAAAGGAAUGCCCAAAAUUAUACAAACCCUCGUUCAUGAGGAUAUAGAGAACCAAAAAUUUCUGUUCUUGUUAACAACUUGUAUUUAUUUAUACUCCAAUAUUCUCGCCAACAAUCUAAAGGGCUGAGACACUGCACCCUUCAUUUGCAUUGUCACAUAAGAGUUAUUUAUCCGUGCAUCAUCUAAAUUCAAAGAACAUAUCCUUGAUGGACACAACUGAGCAAGAACAACAGGUUGUAACGGAAUGAAAGAGACAAGUAGACAACAGCACGACCUUCCAAUCCUCAGGGGCUGUACAAACUAGGAACUCAAAUCGUUUGCAUCUUUCCUUCCUUGCACACAAUCAUCUGCCCUGCAAAUAAGAUCACACAGUUACUAUCAUCCUUAAUGGUGCUGAGUAAAUCAAAUAGCAAGGACUAAUAAGAUGAGAAUUUACCUGCCAUGGCGUAGAAUUGAGGAGGUAAUUGGUUUAAGCAGCAUGGAGGUAGAAACCAGCAGAACCUAUCGAUGGCACUAUUGCAUACAAUAGAAAUCAACACAAGUCAGUAAAAAUCAAGAGAAGUGGACAACAUAAAUCAACAGCACAUCACCUGCAUUCUAGAACAUACUUUCAACAACUAUCAUACUGUAAAACUACAAGGCACAUCAGCCAUCAACUUGAAUUUUGCAGUGCUCCUGAAUUUAUUUGGGCGCUGGUACCCUUACUACUGGAAUGUAACAAAGGAUCAAUGGAUUAG